GACGAACCGUGCGAACGUUAUUCGGAAUCACUGGGCUUAAAGCGCGUGUAGGCGGGACGGCACGUCGGCCGCUGAAAUCCCCCCGGCUCAACCGGGGGAAGUGGCGCCGAAACGACCGCCCCUCGAGGGGCGUAGGGGGGGCUGGAACUUCCGGUGGAGCGGUGAAAUGCGUUGAGAUCGGAAGGAACGCCCGUGGCGAAAGCGAGCCCCUGGACGUCAUCUGACGCUGAGACGCGAAAAGCGUGGGGGAGCAAACAGG
rnacentral:rRNA from 1 species